GUCGGUAUUUAAGAUUCUGCUAGAAAACCAUAUUAAAUGAAAGAAUCAUCAAUUAGGAGCCAUAUUAAUGCUGUGGACAGUGAAUUAUGUGUACUUUAUCAAAGGAUCGCCAUAUUGUGACUACCUUCCGUCUUCUAUAUGCUGUGACCAUUAUCAUCUGCCUCGCACAGACUAAUCAUGGAAGAGUUUCUGGAAAUAAACAUCAGGCAAAGAAAUUAGGAAGUAAGAGAGAAUCCUCACCAGCCACCUGAGGAAUAUCCCCGACUGGGUCUGCUACAAGCACUUCCAUUAGUCAUCAUGCAACUUUUGAAGUCGGCUAAUCAGCCUCCACCACUGGCUUAUGCACAAGAUCAGCCUGAAUAAGAGAUGAGGAUUUGUUUGCACCCAUGUCAGCACCACAUGCAUUCAUAUAUCAUGUGAGUCACGAGUUCAGGAUUGUCUUGAAAUUGCUGGCUGCACCUCCAGGAUUGUUCUACUAAUGAUAGUGUGGAGGACUGGCCACAGCUACAGGUGUUUAAGCCCAAUUUCAGCUAAACUGUAACUGGUCACCCAAAAGCAGGUUAUUCAAGUAAAUGAAUGAAACAGAUGCAUGAUUCCUCAAAUACAUACAAACUAUUUUGUACACUCCAGUCAUGAAAGGUAAAACCAUUUUAAAAACUCUAGAAUAGCGGCUGCAUAAGUAGGCUUUAAGGGCAACAGUGAUCCCCACUCUAAAAACCCAAAAGGAACAAAAAAACCCAAAAGGACUCUUCCCAAACAGAAACAAAAAUAUCAAUACAUCAGUGAACCCAGACAAUACAACAUGACAAUCCACAACUUCAAAAUCAAUAGGAACAAACCCCAAAAAAGGAAAAUGAUAAGCCCAAUGUAAACCCUCAGACACCUGACCCCUCUUAGAUGUAGUUGUCCCAAGCCAGUACUGUGAGUUCACCGUACCCAAUUAAAUUUAACAAACUGAUUAUUUAACUAUAAGAGAAAAGAGAAAAAAACCCUAAAAUUAAUUAUAUUCCAGUCAUACAUCCCCCAAAUCACCCUACGACCCACACAGACCACUCACUGAACACUCCGGCACAUGCACACAACAGACACACCAUACAACCCAAAAGUUAAAUGACCAGCACAAUUGCCCAAAUGCAACUCCAAAGAGGAAAAGUGAGCAACAAGUUCCUGUGACGAUACGUUGGAACCUACAACCAGGAAACACUACAGCCAUCCAAGGUGUCUCAACCUGCCUCACAUGCGAGCAGGUUAAACUGGAAAAAAAAAAUCACCAGACCCACCCCCCCUUGGUAUCGGAGACUCUCAAAUUCCCAAAAGCAACCUCCACAGCACCUGACAUGCGGUGGGAUAAAACCCAUCUUGCACGUAACGUGAGUUGCCGACAUCGGCAUAAUCGUAUUUAACUUCAAGCAAUUGCUAUUCUUUUCUUAGCUCAAAAGCAGCAUUGAUUUGUUGACCUGCGUUCCCUUGAAAAAGUUGUUUUGACUCACACACCAGACACUGACCAUGUCCUGGUUUUAUGUCUACAUUUUAUUCACGGGCAUCGAUAGGCCCAUUUUAGAGGGGCUUCAGUCCUUCUGAAAUGCUCUUCAGUCCCCCCGUUGUAAAUGUACACUAUUAAGUUUAAAUGAUGUGUUCUUGUUUACUUUCAUUCAAAUGAAAAGAAAAACCUAGUAAAAGCUUGGCCCCCUUUCCCAUAAAUCUCUAGUGACACUCCUGAUCUUAUUUAUAGCAGAACAUGGAGGUAAAUACCCGGCAUGAGUCUAAGAAACAAUAGGAGCUAAAACGGAACCUGUCCCGUGGUUUGUGGCAUGUUUAUGCUCAGCUAUGGGGAUACUGAGCGUCUCGGGGGACCAGCUGUCUCACUCUUUGCCUGACCUACCUGCAGCACCCAAGGAACAUUCCUGCAGUUCACUCCACAUUCACUCCACUGAAGGUCUGCUCUCAUUUUCCAUUACCAGAUUGGUUCCUAAAUAAAUCUAAAAAUCCCAUAAAUGACCCCAUAUAUUUGAUUAAGCAUCUGCUUUCAAAUAAAAUGGAGUCUGUUGGCUUAAUCCUGACGGUGCUACGACAUAUUUGGAUGAAGAAAAACGUGAUCGGAAAGUAAUGUGUUUACAGCUACAGAGAUUCCAUCUUGCAAUCUUAUUUAGAGUUUUUAAAAAAUCAUCUUAAUGGCGUGCAGAAGAGAUUCUCCAAGGCAAGCUCCAUCCCGCUCCAGUGAAAACUUCUCCCUAAACACAUCAUUAUCUCAGUAAUUCAAUAGCACGCAUAGUUAUCCUAGCUGCCUUUGUCCCCGAUUAAUUCCGGAAUGUAUGUGCUGUAAACAUGCCCCCUUCCUGCUAUCACAAGCCUGCCUCACCUGGUGGAUCUACGGUUACUUUUCAUUACACUGUUGCUGCCACAAGGCCUUUAGUUAGAAGAAGGGCCUUGAUUACUGGCAAGUAGGACGGUUUCCAUAUACCUGCAGUAGAUAAUACAGAUGCUGUGUUGAAGGCCUGAAUUAAGGAUCCUUAAAUUAUAGUUUAACUUCUGAGGGACCGUGGGACACCUUGGGAUUCCUACAUGGGUAUUCAAAUAGCCACUAAAGGCAUAAGUGUGCUUUGACAAAAGUUUGGAUUCCUGUCUUAAAUAAUUAACCACGUUACUUCACCUUUACACUGCUUUUAUGCUCUUCCUAAGUAGACGUACGUGAAACGUGAAAUCUUGAAAUGGUUGGAGUUCCUAUACGUGCUACAUAAGAUACACCUUGGCCAAGUGGGGGACCUAAUUAGCAUG